rnacentral:rRNA from 1 species
GAUUACCUCAGUAGCGGCGAGUGAAGAGGUAAAAGCCCAAGAUGUUAAUCUGGUAUAAAGUAUCAGAAUUGUAAUCUAUAGGGAUUCUCGGAAGUAUAUAAUAAGUCAUAAGUGGAUUGGAAAAUCCUGCCAAAGAGGGUGAUAGCCCCGUCUUAGGAUUUAUUAUAGCGUACGAGGGUUUUYUAAGAGUCGGGUAGUUUGGGAUUGCUGCCCUAAUUAGGAGGUAUACUUCUCCUAAGGCUAAAUAUUUAUAGGAGACCGAUAGCAUACAAGUACUGCGAAGGAAAGAUGAAAAGAACUUUGAAAAGAGGGUUAAAAGACUUGAAAUCGUUGAAAAGGAAGCAGUAGAAGAGAAAUUGUUUUUAACUAAAACUCGGCAAUUAUCUAAGUUUUAUAACUGAAGUAUUUAAUAGAACGUAGGUUAUGAAAUGAAAAUAAUUGUCUGUUUAGUUAGAAUGGACAAAAUGAGAUCAUGUUAUAAGAAUAAAGGCAAGCAUGCAUUUGCUGCUCAUAAAUUAUAAUGUGGUCUGAGGGAUCUUAUGAUGAUUUUGUCAAAAUGGCUUCUACUGACCCGUCUUGAAACACGGACCAAGGAGUCUACCUAUUAUGCGAGUGUGAGGGUGUAAAAACCUGAACGCAUACCGAAAGGGAGUAUAAGGUGUGAAUAAUCAAUUGCAACAUCAACCAAUCCUGAUCCUCUGGUGAAGGACUUGAGUAAGAGCAUAAUCGGUAGGACCCGAAAGAUGGUGAACUACACUUGAGUAGGGUGAAGCCAGGGGAAACUCUGGUGGAGGCUCGUAGCGUUACUGACGUGCAAAUCGUUCGUCAAACUUGCGUGUAGGGGCGAAAGACUAAUCGAACCAUCUAGUAGCUGGUUCCCUCUGAAAUUUCUCUCAGGAAAGCUGGAACAGUUAAUGCAGUUUUAUCAGGUAAAGCUAAUGAUUAGAGGAAUCGGAGCCCUGCGGGUUUUGACCUAUUCUCAAACUUUAAAUUGGUAAGAACUUUUAGUUAUCUUAAUUGAACUGAAAGGUAGAAUGCAUUGUUCUAAGUGGGCCAUUUUUGGUAAGCAGAACUGGCGAUGAGGGAUGAACCUAACGUUGAGAUAAGGUGCCAAAAUUCACGCUCAUGAGAUACCACAAAAGGUGUUG